rnacentral:rRNA from 1 species
GAUGAACGCUAGCUACAGGCUUAACACAUGCAAGUCGAGGGGAAACGACAUCGAAAGCUUGCUUUUGAUGGGCGUCGACCGGCGCACGGGUGAGUAACGCGUAUCCAACCUGCCCACCACUUGGGGAUAACCUUGCGAAAGUAAGACUAAUACCCAAUGAUAUCUCUAGAAGACAUCUGAAAGAGAUUAAAGAUUUAUCGGUGAUGGAUGGGGAUGCGUCUGAUUAGCUUGUUGGAGGGGUAACGGCCCACCAAGGCUACGAUCAGUAGGGGUUCUGAGAGGAAGGUCCCCCACAUUGGAACUGAGACACGGUCCAAACUCCUACGGGAGGCAGCAGUGAGGAAUAUUGGUCAAUGGGCGAGAGCUUGAACCAGCCAAGUAGCGUGCAGGAUGACGGCCCUAUGGGUUGUAAACUGCUUUUAUAAGGGAAUAAAGUGAGCCUCGUGAGGCUUUUUGCAUGUACCUUAUGAAUAAGGACCGGCUAAUUCCGUGCCAGCCGCCGCCGUAA